rnacentral:lncRNA from 1 species
AAAAAAAAAAAAUUGGAGCAUCAGGUGAAUCAUCAUUAAGUUUAACUAUAUAACUAAUCUUUGGAUUAAUUUUGUAUAGAUGGAAAAAUUCGUUUAGUUUUUUGAAGCAUUUUGAUCGAAUUAUGUCAUGAAAGUAAAGGAGAAGAAGGAGAUUUGUUUGUGCAUAUUUGAGAUCAUUGGCAUUGGAAGGUAAAGCUCCAUAGUUUUUCUUUUGGGAUUGGAAAUGGGGAACGUUUUUCUCCACAUAUGUUUUGAAAUUACUUAUAAUAAAAACAGGGCCGGUCCGUUGUUUUUUACUAUCCAGGACAAAAUAAGAAAUUUAUGCCCUUAUAUAUACCAUACGAUAAAGAAAACUUGUCUAUAAAAUAUUUAUAAAAUAAAAAAUGCAGUAAAUAUUAUAAUCAAACAAAUAGUAGAAUAAAAAACCUACAAAAAUCACCUAAAAUGACGUCUUUGUGUACUUUUUUGAAGCUAAAACAUCUCUUAUUUUACAAUAAUUAAUAUUUUGAAAAAAAUCACUUUCAAUACUUAAAAAUGCUAAUAUAUUCAAUCUUUUCUUGAGUCAUGGUAAAAAUACAAUUUCAAGAGCUUCAAUUUUGAAAAAUUUCCUUCCGCAGAAGCAACCAUAACCUGCACAAUCAACAAUAUCAUAUACACAACCAAAACAUUAGUGAACAUAUCUAUUAUUCUUGCAUACUCCACUCUUCUUGUUCUCUUUUUGUUUUCUAUUUUGAGCAGCACCUUAUGGUUGUUUCCAGAGAAACAUAUAUAUAACUCAACAAAUCUAAUUAUAAAAUUUAAGCAACAAAAAGAUACAACAUGUCCAAAGUUUAUGUUUUCCCCUUUCAAGAUGUCAAGAGAUCUGAAAAAUAAACCACAUAAUAAAAAAUAAGAAUCUAUUUUUCAAAACUAUUAUAUAUUAUAACAAUGGAAUACAUUUAUACCUUUUUGCUACUCACUAAAAGUAUAGAUAGUAAAAAAACAGAAAUAAGAACUCAUAUGUUCAAUAAAUAAUUAAACUUCUUUCUGCUUCCUGAUUCAAAUAAAAAACAAGAACACAAAAGGUUAGAAGACAAAUUAAAAAAAAAUGAUGAGAAGGCACAGAUUUUGGUUUAAACAUUGGAGAAAUUUUUAGCUUUCAACUACGUCUAAAAGUCAAGCAAGAUAAUAAAAAAGACAUAAAUCAGAACUCAGAAGUUCAAAAGAUAAUUAAAUGUCUUUCCUCCUCCUCAUUCACAUCAAAAAACAAGAACACAACGGUUUACAAGACAAAUUAAAAAAAAAAAAAACAAAAAAAAAACAAACAAACAAACAAACAAACAAACGAGAAUGCAACAAAUUUUUUACCUAAAUUAGAUACAAACCAACAACAGCUUGACUUAGAAUCUAAAGCUCAAACACAGGAAUCAAAUACAAAACAACAACAUAUUUUGGCUUCAACUACUCAUAUAGUAUUUGGGAGUUUAACACUUUUAACUGAACUCGAAUUCAACAUGUAAAGAUAAAAAAAUUGACCCAAAUAAAAGAAAAGAAUCCAUAAAUCAGAAACAAUUAACAAAAUAUGAAGUUAAGAAAAAAAUAAAAAAGUACUCCCUGAAGAGUGAAGAGAUUCAUUCAUUCGGAUAUCAAAAAAAUCCAAUACGUGACGCUCUGUUGUAAUGCCUAAUCGGAACUCGGAACCCAGAUUGCGAGAUUGAAACUUGAAAAAAAUCAAACUCUGAGAGCAGGUGAUGCUCGAUUGAAUGCACAAAAGGUUUAGAGAGAUCGAGAGAAAAGAAAUCAGAUAUCUAUUUGAUUUAGAAUGCGAAAUUGAGAAUAGAAUUCAUAUACCGAUUUACUGAUUUAGAAUUUGACUCCUCGAUCCCAACAUAUCGCUCAACGAUUUUCAGUUUUCAAGGGUGUUACCGAUUACCGAUUUUGACGUUUGAAAAUCUCAAGAACUUUGAUUAUUUGUUGGAGGCUUUCAGUGAAAUUAUGCUCCAGUACGUUGAUUUCUUCGUGAGCACAAC